GCUUUAUUCGUGUGGAUAUUAAGAGAACAGGUUUGAAGAGAACAGACAGUUAUGAAGUAAAUGUAGAAUGCUUGAACAUUAAGACGCUCAGUUUGAAAUGUGCUUGAUUAUUUCAAUAUUGUUUUGCAUCAUUUGCUGUGUGACAGGAAAUGAAAAUCCAUGCGAUGAUGGGAAUUUUAAACUUCUUCACACUCCAGGACUUAGAGGCGGUAAUUGUAUAAGACAAACAUCAAACGUUAUCUGUGAUCACUACAUCAGUGAUGGCUGGUACAAAGUUUUACAUGAAGAUGACCCAAAAUCUAGAAAACUUAUGGAAACAAAAGUUGCUCCUAACUUUUGUGGAACAAGUAACCCUAUUUGGCUCAAUGGUACGUGAAAGAAAUCGAGAUAAAGAUAAUCCUCUUUGCGCAAUUGUUUCACUAAUGAAUUCUGAUUUUUCGUUGUUUUUAUACCUAGGAACACAUCCAGUUAAUGCUGAUGGAAUUGUAAACAGAACAGUAUGUGUUGUUGGAGUCAGAAGUUAUUGUGACAAACAAUACGAAAUACGGAUUAAAGCCUGUGGUGUUAAUGAAUACGUGUAUUAUUUAAGGAAAGCCCAGUCAUGCAAUGAAGGAUAUUGUUUUGGUAAAGAUCUACCAUGUGCAAAACCAAAUCCAUGUGAACCGGGAAAUAGUAAAAUAUUGCAUGUCGAUGGAGAUCGAUCGACAUCUUGCAAAGAAAAGUCGAUGUCACUGUGCGAUAACACGUUUAAUAAUGAGUGGUACAGAGUGCAGAAAAAUGGCAUUGACCUGAAGAUGCCAAACACAUGUGUUGAUCAGUAUAGUUGUGGAACAAAAUAUCCAAUAUAUCUAAGUGGGUCUGAGCCUGCCAUAACUGAUAAAGUUGUGUCUAGGAAGGCGUGUGUCAACGAUGGAAAUAUGUGCACUUGUUCGAGGUUUUACAAUAUUCAACUGAGGAACUGUUCUACUUAUAUUGUCUACAAUCUAACUUCCGUUCAAUCAUGUCCAGAGAGAUAUUGCUUCGGAACCGAAGGAAACUGCAAGAAAGAAGGAGAAAAACCUUCAAAUUUCUUAGAAUACAUCUUGGCUGUUGUGGCUGGCAUUGUUAUGCUGUUCAUCAUCGCCAGCAUUGUAUCAUACAUUCUUUAUAAGAAGUCUUUAAGAAUAAAGAGCAUUCAUUCUGAGGGGAAAUGUCAGACACCAGAGAACGAAGAACAAUUGAAGAAACAAAUGCCAUAGACUUUAAACAUACUUCUCAUCAAUAUUAUGCAGCUGUUAUUAAACAGGGGGAA
rnacentral:misc_RNA from 1 species